CAAUAGCGUAUAUUAAAGUUGUUGCGGUUAAAAAGCUCGUAGUUGGAUUUCUGCCGAGGACGACCGGUCCGCCCUCUGGGUGAGUAUCUGGCUCGGCCUGGGCAUCUUCUUGGAGAACGUAGCUGCACUUGACUGUGUGGUGCGGUAUCCAGGACUUUUACUUUGAGGAAAUUAGAGUGUUUCAAGCAGGCUUACGCCUUGAAUACAUUAGCAUGGAAUAAUAAGAUAGGACCUCGGUUCUAUUUUGUUGGUUUCUAGAGCUGAGGUAAUGAUUAAUAGGGAUAGUUGGGGGCAUUCGUAUUUAACGGUCAGAGGUGAAAUUCUUGGAUUUGUUAAAGACGGACUACUGCGAAAGCAUUUGCCAAGGAUGUUUUCAUUGA
rnacentral:rRNA from 1 species